rnacentral:lncRNA from 1 species
AGAAUUUGGUUAGAAUUUAGGAUUUUGCUAGGAUUCCAUUAAAACCGGUCUAGAAUUUAGGAUUUGAUUAGAAUUUAGCUAAGAUUUAAUAUUUUAUUAAGAUUUAAUCUAAAAUUUGAUUAAGAUUUAUUAAGUUUUUAAUUAAUAUUUUAAUUAGGAUUUAAUUAGGAUUUAAUUAGAAUUUGACUUAGAAUUUGAUUAAGGUUUAUUAAGAUAUCAAUUAGGAUUUUUAUUAGAAUUUCAUUAAGAUUUGAUCUAGGAUUUGGUGAAGGUUCAUUAGGAUUUUAAUUAGAAUUAAAUUAACAUUGGAUUAAAAUUUAUUUAGGUUUUAUUUCAGAUUUAUAUUUUGAAUAUUUUUUAAAGGUUCUUUGUUAUUUCUUUUUAAAAAAUGAUUUAUAGUAUUUUUUAAAAUUAAUUAUUAGUUUUUUAAGAUUUUAUUUUUA